AGCUGAUGAUCAGUGGUGAAGAAAUCAAGAAGGUACAGGUGAGAAAAAUGAAACCUCUGCUGAAGGAAGCAACGUUUCCAAAGUUCUUGUUGCUGCAUGUGGCACUUUAUUUGCUCCGUGCUGAACGGGGGAGAAGGAUAAAGGAAAACUUCCUUUACAAGUCCAGAAACUGUGAAUCCUUCAAACUAGACUUUCUGCUCAAAAGCUCUGGUUAAUUUUUCCCAUGUAAACAUCAUAGAAUUUUCACAGUCCACCUUUUUAAACGUAACCUUUAUAUUUCUACUAAGGAAAGUUUAAAAGUGCAUUCUAGUUCUGGUUUGCCAUUGACAUAUGCCAGGCUUUGAGAUAAGAUGUGAGGAAAAUAUUAGCUAGAAAACUUCCAACAUGGAAAAGUUAAACUGGAUGAGCUUUAACAAAUCUUUCAUUGUGAGAAAACGUCUGCAGCACGUGACUGUUAUUCUUCUGCAAGUGGGAACACUUGAAAAUGACUUACAAUAUGUGGCCGAAUCGGGAGGCAGAAGGGAUGACAAUCACAUUAGGAGUUAAUUGAUCUUGGCUACUAUUGUAGAAAGUCCAGUUAUCUUUCGAAACACAGAAAUUGAGACUAGGUUUUGAUAGAUGACCUGGAAUGAAUGGGAACUAUUCCAUUUACUUUUUCUUUUCUUUCUACCUCUAGUUUUGCAUACUGGGAAAAGGUGGUUUAUUAUAUGUCCUGUUGUGGAAAACUCUACUACUGAUGCACCAGAAUUUUCCCCACCGGUACCUCAGAGUACACAGCAGUCGGAAGGGCCAGACUCAGAGCAGCCAGAUGACCAGCCUGUGGUGAUGGAUCCACCUGGUGUCCUAUCUGAGCAGCAGACGUGCGACAGCCCCAUUGGAGCAUCUCCCUCUUUGGCACAAGUUCCUGCCGCAGCAUCUUCCACUGGUUUGCCGAGCCAGGUGGAGUUUCCAGCUCCAGCACAACCAGGAUCUACUCCAAGUGUCCUAGAGCAGCCAGCCACCAGCAGCACUCAGCCGGAAUAUUCUCUGAUGCCGGCUCCUCCCGGCACUCCUGUCCCUCGUGCUGCCCUGGUGGAGGAGCUGCCCGAUGCUGCCCCGCGCCUGCAGCCGCAGCACGACGAGGGCACGUGUAUCCCUGACGUGGAGAUCGCAUGUUGCAGUGUCGGGCCGCACAGGGCAGUCCCUGCAGCUCCCACGAAGGCAGCGGAGCUCUGCCCGCUCCAGGUGCUCCCGGAUGC
rnacentral:lncRNA from 1 species